rnacentral:tmRNA from 1 species
GGGGGUGACUGGCUUCGACAGGUGCUGGUCGGUCCCGGGAGAGCGAGCCGAGUACGUCCGGUCACCUCGCAAAACUGUCCGGGCAACCUUAUAGGUGCCAACGACGAAAUGGCCCUGGCGGCCUA